rnacentral:rRNA from 1 species
UCGGGAAUUUUGGGCAAUGGGCGCAAGCCUGAUCCAGCCAUGCCGCGUGAGUGAAGAAGGCCUUCGGGUUGUAAAGCUCUUUUACCAGGGACGAUAAUGACGGUACCUGGAGAAUAAGCCCCGGCAAACUUCGUGCCAGCAGCCGCGGUAAUACGAAGGGGGCUAGCGUUGUUCGGAAUUACUGGGCGUAAAGCGCACGUAGGCGGAUUGUUAAGUCAGAGGUGAAAUCCCGGGGCUCAACUUCGGAACUGCCUUUGAUACUGGCAAUCUAGAGUCCGGAAGAGGUUAGUGGAAUUCCCAGUGUAGAGGUGAAAUUCGUAGAUAUUGGGAAGAACACCAGUGGCGAAGGCGGCUAACUGGUCCGGUACUGACGCUGAGGUGCGAAAGCGUGGGGAGCAAACAGGAUUAGAUACCCCUGUAGUCCCUGAGCGGGCUGGCAAGGCGCAU